rnacentral:rRNA from 1 species
CGGCCGCGUCGACCGAACGCUGGCGGCGUGCUUAACACAUGCAAGUCGAACGGAAAGGCCCUGCUUUUGUGGGGUGCUCGAGUGGCGAACGGGUGAGUAACACGUGAGUAACCUGCCCUUGACUUUGGGAUAACUUCAGGAAACUGGGGCUAAUACCGGAUAGGAGCUCCUGCUGCAUGGUGGGGGUUGGAAAGUUUCGGCGGUUGGGGAUGGACUCGCGGCUUAUCAGCUUGUUGGUGGGGUAGUGGCUUACCAAGGCUUUGACGGGUAGCCGGCCUGAGAGGGUGACCGGCCACAUUGGGACUGAGAUACGGCCCAGACUCCUACGGGAGGCAGCAGUGGGGAAUAUUGCACAAUGGGCGGAAGCCUGAUGCAGCAACGCCGCGUGUGGGAUGACGGCCUUCGGGUUGUAAACCGCUUUCGCCUGUGACGAAGCGUGAGUGACGGU